rfam:Oryza meridionalis cultivar OR44 (W2112) chromosome 8, whole genome shotgun sequence.
UUUAAGUGCAGUUGUGGAUUUUUAGUUCAAGACCGUCCAUUUUAUUUAGAAUUUUUUAUGAUAUUUUUGUUGUUAUUAAAUGAUAAAAUAUGGAUAGUACUUUAUGCGUGACUUAUUUUUUAAAAUUGUUUAUAAUUUUAAAUAAGACAGACGAACAAACGUUGGACACAGAAACCCACAACUGCACUUUAA